AACGUCUGACACAGGUGCUGCAUGGCUGUCGUCAGCUCGUGUCGUGAGAGUGUUGGGUUAAGUCCGUAACGAGCGCAACCUUGUCCUUAGUUACCAGCACGUUACGGUGGGCGACUCUAAGGAGACUGCCGGUGACAACCGGAGGAAGGUGGGGAUGACGUCAAGUCAUCAUGGCCCUUACGGCCUGGGCUACACACGUGCUACAAUGGUCGGUACAAAGGGUUGCCAAGCCGCGAGGUGGAGCUAAUCCCAUAAAACCGAUCGUAGUCCGGAUCGCAGUCUGCAACUCGACUGCGUGAAGUCGGAAUCGCUAGUAAUCGUGAAUCAGAAUGUCACGGUGAAUACGUUCCCGGGCCUU
rnacentral:rRNA from 1 species